GACGAACGCUGGCGGCGUGCCUAAUACAUGCAAGUCGAACGCAUUUUCUUUCACCGUAGCUUGCUACACCGAAAGAAAAUGAGUGGCGAACGGGUGAGUAACACGUGGGUAACCUGCCCAUCAGCGGGGGAUAACACUUGGAAACAGGUGCUAAUACCGCAUAUUUCCUUUUACCCCUGGUAGGUGGAUGAAAGGCCGUUUUUCGUCACCUGUUGGAUGGACCGCCGGUGCUUUGGCUAUUUGGUGGGGUAACGGCCUACCAAGGCUGCGAUGCAUAGCCGACCUGAGAGGGUGAUCGGCCACACUGGGACUGAGACACGGCCCAGACUCCUACGGGAGGCAGCAGUAGGGAAUCUUCGGCAAUGGACACAAGUCUGACCGAGCAACGCCGCGUGAGUGAAGAAGGUUUUCGGAUCGUAAAACUCUGUUGUUAGAGAAGAACAAGGAUGAGAGUGGAAAGUUCAUCCCUUGACGGUAUCUAACCAGAAAGCCACGGCUAACUACGUG
rnacentral:rRNA from 1 species